UGCUGCUGAGAGGAGGGAGGGAAGGCUGUGAGCAAGUGCAGUGCCCACCAGGCAGGCCUGGAGAUGGGGCUGGGAAGGAAUCGCUUCGAGGGGGUGAGAGGAACAGCCUGCCUCUCAGUUGUCCCAGGCGCCUAAGACACCCUGGAAGCCCCACCCGAUUCUGGGAGUUUUUCUCACGGAGGUGUACUGAGCAGCAGGAGACAACUCCCCUGCCUCCGGCCUCCCCCCGGCAGGGGGCUGGUCCCCUGGGAAGCAGGCUGGGGGUGACUCCGUGUGAACAGCGAGCUCCAGGGCCAUCACUAGAGGAUGUCACCAUCCUGGGCAGCACCCCCGCAGAGGAAAGGACAGGACUCCAGGCAGAAGUUAGCCAAACCCUUGCAGAGUCAGCAACCAUUCCCAGGGAAUUGUAUCACAAAGGCUGUCCCCUGGGUUCCUGGGGCUGCCUGUGCCAGAAGCCUGAGCCCUGAGCGCAGGUGGGGAGAGGAAAAGGUCCUGCCAGCCUGCGGUGUGAGGAGCCCUUGGGGAAGAUGGGCUUUGCAGACUUGGCACCAACACCCCCUCUCGUGCUCCCAGCCACCCCACUGGAGGCCAGGAACAUUUCUCAGUUUCUUUCGGGGUGAAGGCUGCGAGUGAAGUGCCAGAUACAGUGUCCCCCUCCUCCUCGGGCACCCUCCCUAUGGCAGUGGGGACUGUCCUUAACCAUCCUGGGGGUGACGGUGGCCACCUCUGCAAAAUGAUUUCUCUUUCAGUGAGUGGGUGUCUCACGUCACUGUUGAGACACGCGGGAGCCUCGGAGGGAAACCCGUGGGAAGGAGCUGCCGGCCUCCUUCUGGGAACCAGGUGACCCCAGGAUCACGGCUCAGGUGCAUCCAGCCCUGGAAGCCCUGUGAGGAGCUCUGGGGCCUCGCUCAGAAAGGGGGCCUGGGAAGAAGCAGCUCCAGCCCAUGGCCCAAGCCUGCAGGGGCCACAGGUGUGGCCACUGGAGUGGAGGGAGGUGCCUUUGGUGGAGGAGCCUUGCAAUCCUGGGUCUGGCUACACCUGCCACAUAAGAACCCUGCUGGCGUGCUGUUCUUUCGCUGCUGCGUGGACGCAUGGAGCCUCUGGGGGCCAAGGAGCCUCCGGGAACAGGCAGCAGGUGAGGCAUGGCCUGUAAUGCACACAGGUGUUGCUGGGUCUGCCCCCACCUUCAGCCCCGCUCACCCAGCCUCACAGAGCCUGGUAUGGCCUCCAAGGAAGUGACAUGGGGGGAGCAGGCUUAGGGUGAGGGGGAAGUUGUGGGAAGUCCGGCAUGCAAGUGAGAAGGCUUCUGAAGAGAAAGCAUCUGGCAAAGUGCUUCAGCUCAGCCCCUCCCAAACUCAAAUCCAGGGGAGGCCAGGCCAGCAGGACCUGCGGGUGCCACGCCUUGGCAGGUGCCAGGCAACAGGAUCGUGCCAUGGUGGUGACAUGGGAGAAUGUGGGAACCUGAGAGGUGAGAGGGAAUAAGUUUCCAGAACUCUCUCUCAGGCAGGAGGAGACAUGACUCAGCUGAGCCAGAAAGUGCUCAUUCCACACGAAUGCACGUAUGAGCGAGGCACGCCAGAACAGACUCUGUGGCAAUAAGAUAUCAAAUUACAAACAGGCCCUCAGGCCACAGUAGGCAAGAGUCGAGCCACGUACCCUACACUGAGAGAACGGAUUCUGCCCUCACGCCACAGCUGCUUUUUCUCCAGCAGCUAAACACACACUGGCCCGGCAAUGAGCAAGAUUCAAAUGACUGCAGCUCAUCCACCCACAGACGCCAACUGACCACGUUCCACAGACUUGACCACAGCUCUGACUGGGCAGAAGCCUGACUUCAGGAACCUCCUCCUGAUAAGGGACCCCCUACCAUGGACCGGCUUUGGCCGAUUUACAGAGGCUCCGCCUUGAGUGCCUUUGUGUUCCGAGAAGACCUCUGAGGUUUAGGGCCUCAUUGCGACACACUGACAUGUUAAGACUCUACCCCAGAGUGAACACAGGUGGUAUGUUACAUGCAUGUUUGUUCAGUAUGCGUGCAGCAGGACCCCCUUCAUGAAUAACUUGCUGCACAGGUUUAGCCAACCCGGUCAGCACGAAGCUCCUGCCCCAGCCACCCCUCCCCUUCGAAGUGCCUCCUCCUGGCUCCUCUGGUCUUGGCAGAGGCCGUGCUUCCCAGCCUGGGGGACAGGGCCUUGCAGGCUGUGUCCCUUUACAGAAACAAAGUCUCCUGUUCUAAAAGCACAGAUCUUGUGAUUUUCAGUUCAUGGCAUUUGCUCCCCUUCCCAAUGGCUGGGUUUGCAUUCCAGCCACUCCAUGAGAUUCCAGCACCAAGGGAACCUCGACCCCGCCUGGACCCCCAGCAAAGGCUCCAGCCCACAGGUGCUGCCCACUCGGUGGGUGGGGCCCCCGCUGGCUGUGGCCCCUCCAUGGAACCUGAGAGCAUGAGGAACUUCCCCCUCCCGAACCUCUCCCGCCUGUCUCCUGUGGCUGAGGUGUGGCCGUCCCUCCCCCACCCUGACCCGGCCCGUCAGACCCAGAGGGGACCCGUCAACUGAGCCCAAAAGUGGCUGCUCUGACAAUCAGGAUUCAGACGUGUGAAGAGAAGGCUGUGUGUGCGUGUGUGUGGUGAGUGUCCGUGCAUGUAGCGUGCCUGCGUGUGGUAAGUGUGUCCCUGUGUGUGGCACAUGUGUACAGUGACUGUGUGCACAUGUGCACUGUGGUGUGUUUCACCUGUGAGUGUGUGUGAUGUGGACGUGUGUGUGUGUGUGUGGAGACUGAGGGGGCGGCGGCAGGAGGUGAGCCCCCAAGGCCGUGUUCUGUGAGCACAGGAGUAGUGUGAGGUGGGACUGCCCUCCAAGGCUGUCCUCAAAGGGGCUUCAUGUCCCAGGCACCACGGGCCCUGCCUGGACUGCACAGCAGCUCUCCUGGGCCCGGUGCACACCUGGAAACCAGGCACCGCAGGGUUCCAGGCCUGGAGCCUGGGGUGUAGACUGAGCGCCACCCGAAGAGCCCCUCCCUCACGUGGGCAGGGGUAGAGGGAGGCCCACACGGCCCCGCACACACCUCCAGGAAGCGAGACGCGACGUCCUGGUCUUCUUUGUUCAGUACCAGAUUGUCCACGAACAUCCAGAAGAAGGGUCUGGGGCUGCCUGGUCCGGGCCGCGCGUACUGCAGGAGCCGGUGGAACUGGAACAGGACAGACGGGCGUGGGCACCGAGAGGCAGCAGCAGUGGGCAAGGUCGCGUACGGUAGCACGAGAUGUCCCCAGGGCUGACCCUGCUCAGCUCGCAGGGCCCACAGGCCAGGGCAAGCCGAGAUGUGGAGCCCACUAGGGCAGAGCCAUCCCCAGCCACCACCAGCCUCAGGGGCUGCCUGCCUGGAGCCCAGAGGAGAACGUUCCGAAUCUGAGGUGAAGACUCUGUGCCACGCGUUUGGGGACUGAACUCUGCCUUUAUCUUUUCUUGCUCAAAUUCCUUUCUAAGGAGCGUGGGGGAAUCACGGCUUACAAACCACAAAAGCUUGUGGAAUGGGUGUUUUUGAGCCGGUAUAUUAUGGCUCUGCCAUGGCGUCACACGACAGACAGCAGACCUUAUUUUAACUCAAGCAUUCCUUUCUACUGAGUCCGAGUUUUCAGGCAAAGCUUAACUCUUUCAUCCAACUGCCAACUAAAGAAUCCCUAAUGUAAGCUUCAAGAUAUCCCACCUUUUGGGGCUGAACCAAUGCACACCUAUGUAUUGAUUGAUUGAUUGACUGAAUUUUUUGAGAUGGGGUCUCAUUCUGUCACCCAGGCUGGAGUGCAAUGGUGAGAUCUCGG